UAUGCCUCCUUCUACUACCUUUCCCCACUGCUCUUCCCACCUUAUUGUCUCUCUCUUCCCCCUCCCCCCAGCCUGCUGGAAGUCCCUACUACUGCCUUCCCUGCUGCCAUUAUGGUGGGGACAGACUUAAGACAAUCCUCCAAUAAUUAUAUUCCACAAGUGGAAAAUUAUAACAAUUUUAUAAACUUUCCAUGUAUAGAAUCUAAUUAUGGAGGGGAGAGGUCUUGGACUCUGUUAAAUAUGGUACGUACAUCGUAGUCUUUUGUUGUGCUUGUUUUCAUGUAGCACAUACACUGUUUACAUGGCAAAUUAAAAUCCAGAUCAGUGUUUUGUUUGUGGGCCCCCCCCUCUUUGGGGACAGGAGAGUGACAUUUUUUAGACAGGGGUUUCAGAGCAUCUGCUUACUGCUAAAAAGGAAGUCAGUGUUAAUAAAAUAAUAUGGUCAAUGAGAAAAGUGAAUGAACAUAUCUAUUAAAAUGCUUGGAAGUAGAUCCUCAAACUGGCCUGAGAAACCUCUGUAGCAGUGAUGUUAAAAGAAACUUUGGGUACAGGAGAUGGAACAGAUGUUUGCAAUGUGAUAUGGCUACAAAAAACCAAUGCAGUUUGGGGUUGAAUGCUCAUUCUCUGAGGCUGAAUCACCAUGUGGAGUGGGGAGGUAAUUUCUUUGGGACUGGCAUGGUUUGGGAUAUUAUGUUAAUUUCUGAGUGUUCUACCAGCUAGGUAUUGACAAAUCAGAGUUCAAAGAAGGAAAAAAAGUGAUUGGGGACCAAGUAGAUUUGAGUUAUGCUGAAAGAGAAUAAAAGUACUAACUCCUCCUGUAUAUAUAGUCAGGCUAAGUAACAGUGAAGGUGUGUGCAUAUGUAUGUCAUUAUGUGAUGGUCAGGGAAGAGAAGAAAUGCUUUGGAGUGGUAAAAGGGGAAUAAAUAGAAGUACUCUAAUGAGGUUAAAUGUAGAAAGAGAAAAAGCUAGGGAGGGAGGAACUUGUGCUGUAAGGUGCAGAGGAAUAUACAUGACCUGACUGCUUUGAAAAGCAGGUUUAACCAUAGCUGUCAGUAGAAUGGGAGUCCUGUGGCUGUUCACAAGGAUGUUUUGCAUUGGCACAGCAUGGAGAUUCCUGUUCUAAUGCACUGGCUUGUUCACACACUAAAGGAAGAUCAGAGAUAAUUAGUAGAUAAUUUACUCUGGCACUAGAGAGGAAGAAGUCCUUAACAUAAAGCUUAAGUGUUGGCAGGACAGGUGCCAGGUUCAAGUAGGAUGCAGGUGAUGCAAGUCUCUUCCUACUUUGCUUUAUAAAGCUCCACUUGUGCAGAAUCAGGAACUAAAUGAAAAACAGCAUGUUAAAUCACUGACUUGGUUUCCCGGGGUCAGUGCAGGAUUGGUCUUUGCGUACUUUCAAGUGCUUUGUCUAGUCUAAAAGUACCAAGUACAGGGCUUGCCAUUCACCUGGCCAGACAGGUACUUUUAGACCCUAAAAUUAAUGGGAGGAAAACCCAAGACCUUUGACUUCAGGCAGGACUUCGGGUUUCAUGGACCAGGAGGGCUGAGAGGAUACUCUGGCCCAAGUCUUGGGCCAGGAUGAUGUUGUUUGGACCACUGAGCUGGAGAUGUAUUAGCUCUCAGGGCAGGACAGCUCAUAUGGCACUGACAUUGAGGAGGACCAGCCAACCCUGCCCUCAUGCUCCCAUGCCCAGGCUCCAGUCACCUGGAAGGAAUGUGUGGACAACUGGACACCAAACCCAUUGGGUCAGCAUGCAGUUGUUCCUACUGCUACUGUUGGAAGUCCCAAGAUCACUACUCAAGACUGGAGCUGAGCAAGUAGCCAGGCUGAGGCAGAGAAGAAGAACAAGAGACAGAUCUAGUUGUCUUAUUGGAGAGAAAAGCAGUGGCUGUGGAAAAUGGUGUCCCUAGAUGGAGUACUGCCAAGGCUGCUGUGCUGAUAUGGUCAGGAGGGGGAUAUCUCAGGUCAAGUGUACAGUGAUCUUCCAGGCGUGUCAACACUGAGGUCACCAGGGCAUGGUGGAGGCAUGGUGAAGCAGACUGUGGAGAUGCUGAUGGGGAACCUCCUAGUGGAAAAGUCCAGCAGUAUGUCAUAGCCCUUAACAGGUAGAUGGAGAACAUCUAUGCAGUGCUGUGUUUUGCCCCCCUAUCCGAAGUAGGCCCCCUUUAGAGACAUACUUUUGUGCCCUGGAGAAUUACCUCUACCCUCUUAGUGUCUUCCAAACCAAGGGCCCCUACCUACUGCUGUCUCAUGCCUAGGCUUUCCCUCUGGAGCCCACCUAUUCCACAAGCAGACCUCAGUCUACCAACUCCUAGCCCUGUUGUUUAGCCAGCUCUUCCCCCUGACCUUUCCCCCUCUCCACCCUCCCACACACACUUGCCUUCUCAACUGUAAGGCUCCAUAGUCAUAAGGCACUCUUCUGCAGCCCGUGAGGGAGAACAGACCUUUAAAGAAGACUUGGGAAUGCUGGGACAGGAGCAGCUCUCCUUUACCUUGCAGAGGUCUGGCCCAUGCUGGUGUGGGAAGAGCAGCUCAUCCCUCUGCAUACUGUGGUGGAAUACUGCCCUGCCAUGCAUCCUCUAAAGACCCUUCCCCAUCCAUAAUGACAUGGUGACAGUAACCCUGCAGGACACUGUCAGGACACCCCUCCUCCCCUGCAACUUCAGAAACUGCCCGCAACCCCACCCCUGCUAGAAAGCACUUGUUUUGUUCCAAUAAUACAGCCCUGAGUGUGUGUUUGUAGUUAUUUAAUAAAGAAACUGUUUGGGGAAAAAAAGAAAUGACUGAAUUAUUUUGAAAUUCACA